AUAUCUUUCUCGACCUUUUGGCUAAGAUCAAGUGUAGUAUCUGUUCUUAUCAAUUUAAUUUUGAUAUGUGGAUUAUAGAUUCACACGAUAUUAAUACAGGCUUGGUGCAACCCACC
rnacentral:snRNA from 1 species